rnacentral:lncRNA from 1 species
AUGUCCCAAACAGAACUCACUGAAAGUGUCUUCCUGUUUUCUGGCUUGCUGCUGCUGGGAAAUGGGAUCAGCACUGCCUGUACCUGGUGCUCUGGUUGUGAGGAGAGCUCUGACAAGGACCGGAAAAGCUUUCUAAGCUGGAGUUGCUCUGGCCCGGUGUUCCAUGGGGUCAGGAAAACUCUAUCAUGCACCAGAACAAUUCCAAGACUUCAAAGACACUUCAGAGAAGAUGGAGGAGGGAUGAUGUUUACCCCGGCAGAGUGGUUUGCCCAGUGUCAGGCUUCACUUGCACCACAGAGAUGACACUCAAAACCUUGCAGUGUGCUUUUUUUUCUCCUCUUGCAUGAUUUCUGACACUGAAAAUAAUAUUGGAGAGGUUUUUACACAGUUUGUAUUGUAGAGGUUUUUACACAGUUUGCCAACUACUUUCUUAGCUGCAAAACAUGACAGUGUGAGUCACAACUUGUCUGAAGGUAGAAAUUAUUUAAAUUGUAAAUAAAUAGCCAAGUUGAACCUCA